rnacentral:rRNA from 1 species
CUGGCUCAGGAUGAACGCUGGCGGCGUGCCUAACACAUGCAAGUCGAACGGGGUUAAGGGAAAUUUCGGAUGGAACUUAACUUAGUGGCGGACGGGUGAGUAACGCGUGGAUAACCUGCCUCACACUGGGGGGAUAGCAGCUGGAAACGGCUGGUAAUACCGCAUAAGACCACGGUGCCGCAUGGCACCGGGGUAAAAGAUUUAUCGGUGUGAGAUGGAUCCGCGUCUGAUUAGCCAGUUGGCGGGGUAACGGCCCACCAAAGCGACGAUCAGUAGCCGGCCUGAGAGGGUGAACGGCCACAUUGGGACUGAGACACGGCCCAAACUCCUACGGGAGGCAGCAGUGGGGAAUAUUGCACAAUGGGCGCAAGCCUGAUGCAGCAACGCCGCCGUGAGUGAAGAAGUAUUUCGGUAUGUAAAGCUCUAUCGGCAGGGAAGAAAGGCCCGAAAGGGAGAUGACGGUACCUGACUAAGAAGCCCCGGCUAACUACGUGCCAGCAGCAGC